rnacentral:rRNA from 1 species
GUCCAGACUCCUACGGGAGGCAGCAGUAGGGAAUUUUGCGCAAUGGGGGAAACCCUGACGCAGCAACGCCGCGUGAUUGAUGAAGCCCUUCGGGGUGUAAAGAUCUGUCAGUGGGGACGAAACUUGACGGUACCUGACUAAGAAGCCCCGGCUAACUACGUGCCAGCAGCCGCGGUAAUACGUAGGGGGCAAGCGUUAUCCGGAUUUACUGGGUGUAAAGGGAGCGUAGACGGCGGUGCAAGCCAGAUGUGAAAGCCCGGGGCUCAACCCCGGGACUGCAUUUGGAACUGUGCUGCUAGAGUGUCGGAGAGGCAGGCGGAAUUCCUAGUGUAGCGGUGAAAUGCGUAGAUAUUAGGAGGAACACCAGUGGCGAAGGCGGCCUGCUGGACGAUGACUGACGUUGAGGCUCGAAAGCGUGGGGAGCAAACAGGAUUAGAUACCCGUGUA